AUUGAACGCUGGCGGCAGGCCUAACACAUGCAAGUCGAGCGGAUGAAGGGAGCUUGCUCCUGGAUUCAGCGGCGGACGGGUGAGUAAUGCCUAGGAAUCUGCCUGGUAGUGGGGGAUAACGUCCGGAAACGGGCGCUAAUACCGCAUACGUCCUGAGGGAGAAAGUGGGGGAUCUUCGGACCGCACGCUAUCAGAUGAGCCUAGGUCGGAUUAGCUAGUUGGUGGGGUAAAGGCCUACCAAGGCGACGAUCCGUAACUGGUCUGAGAGGAUGAUCAGUCACACUGGAACUGGGACACGGUCCAGACUCCUACGGGAGGCAGCAGUGGGGAAUAUUGGACAAUGGGCGAAAGCCUGAUCCAGCCAUGCCGCGUGUGUGAAGAAGGUCUUCGGAUUGUAAAGCACUUUAAGUUGGGAGGAAGGGCAGUAAGUUAAUACCUUGCUGUUUUGACGUUACCAACAGAAUAAGCACCGGCUAACUUCGUG
rnacentral:rRNA from 1 species